GACGAACGCUGGCGGCGUGCUUAACACAUGCAAGUCGAACGAAGUGGCGAACGGGUGAGUAACGCGUAAUCAACCUGCUCUUCAGAGGGGGACAACAGGUGGAAACGACUGCUAAUACCGCAUUCUGAAGGAGGGGAUUGCGUGUGAUUAGCUAGUUGGAGGGUUAAAGGCCAACCAAGGCGAUGAUCAGUAGCCGGUCUGGGAGGAUGAACGGCCAAAUUGGGACUGGGACACGGCCCAGGCUCCUACGGGAGGCAGCAGUGGGGAAUCUUCCGCAAUUGACGAAAGGCUGACGGAGCAACGCCGCGUGAGUGAUGACGGCCUUCGGGUUGUAAAGCUCUUUUAAUCGGGACGCGGUACCGGACUAGAAAGCCACGGCUAACUUCGUGCCAGCAGCCGCGGUAAUUC
rnacentral:rRNA from 1 species